rnacentral:rRNA from 1 species
CCCCGGUGCUCUGUGAUACAUUUUCAACGAGUCGAGUUGUCUGGGAAUGCAGCUCAAAAUGGGUGGUGAAUUCCAUCUAAAGCUAAGUAUUGGCGAGAGACCGAUAGCGAACAAGUACCGUGAGGGAAAGAUGAAAAGCACUUUGGAAAGAGAGUUUAAACAGUACGUGACAAUUUGUAGAAAGGGAAACGAUUGACGUCAGUCAUGCUCUUAGGUAUUAAUAUCAUUGAGUGGGGUCAACAUCAGUUAUGAUCGAUGGAUAAAGGUACUAGGAAGGUAGCACUCUCGGGUGAACUUAUAGCCUAGCAUCAUAUACAUUGAUUGGGACUGAGGAACGCAGCAUGCCUUUAUGGCCGGGAUUCGUCCACGUACAUGCUUAGGAUGUUGACAUAAUGGCUUUAAACGACCCGUCUUG